CCAAUCAAAACUUCAUUGCAUUUAAGUGCUUUAAAUAUAUCAAUAUGAAGAUGAGUAACACUCUCAGAGGCAGAUUUACCUCUACGAAAACCAAACUGGUUUGCUGGUAAAUGGUAGCUACCUAAGGGAUCAUUAUGUACCAUCCAAUUUGAAGCAAGAGAUAAGCAAGGGGAUGCAAUUGUAAGAUCAAGCGCAUUACUCUGCCAUCUGUGUGAUCCUACUGUAGUCGGUGUACCAUAAUUUAAGAUGACCAAGUUGUUACCAUCAAUACAUUCAAGAAUGUCACGACCAUGAGCAUUAAUAGACGAGCAACCCCAUGCUGUGUGAUGAGCAUUAAAAUCACCAGCAACCAACAUGGGUUCUGGAAUACUAUUAAGAAGAUUACUGAAUUUAUUUUUGUUAAAACGUGGACUACAAUUAUUUGGGCUAUAAAAACUAACAACUGACA